rnacentral:antisense_RNA from 3 species
CUUUGCCGAGCCCAGCCGCAGCGGCCGGUCGGCGGGGCGCUCCUGGCCGUAAGUCGCCAGGAUCGCCUGGGCCUC